rnacentral:lncRNA from 1 species
AAACUAAGGGAACAUGUUAAUGAUGCAUUGGUUAUUAAUUAUCUACAAGGAUUAAACCUAGAAAGGAUUAAAAUUCUAAUGAACAUGUUAAACAUGAUUAUUCUCAAUUAGUUCCAAAAAUUAAGAAAACAAUUAUGUCAAUUAUUCUAAAAACUAAGAACUAUUAUAUCAUCAAUUAAAAAAAUAUAUGAAAAAAAUGUUAUUCUCUAAUAAUAAAAAAAUAAAUGAAAAUAACAAAAUAAAAGAUAUUAAAAACAUGGGGUAUAUUGAAAAAUAUAGGAUGCAGGAAAGAAUUGGGUGCAUAGCCCAUGUAUUGAGCUCAUUUGCUAAUCAACUUUGUGAACAGGGAGGUGUAUGAUGAGUACAAGGUGCAAACAACAAAAAAACUUGGGAUGGAAUUAAGAGGGCAAAAGAGACAUAACUUAAACUUGAGCACGCGAUUCACGUGUUAAACGCCUUCCACAUGUAUCCAAGUUGAGUCAAAUGUCCAUCACUGACCUCUCCCUUUCCACCGUGCUGAAGCUCACCACCAACGUCAAUAUAUAAUCAAACGUCACAAUCGAAAAUGCCAUAUCACUCCAAGUUCCGAGCUCUAACCAAAUCCAUCACUAGUUUCAUCUGAAUCCUCAUAAAUUUCCCAAAUUGUGCAAAAUAAAUGAUGAACCAUAACCACAAGAAUUUAAAUUAAAUGCUUAAUCAGAGGAAUCAAAGUCCCUAAGGUUAAGGCUUUGAUUCCUUGGAUCCAUACACUACAUGGUGGUAACUAGAACUAAGUUUAAAGGUGAAGAAAUGGCACCUACCUGCGGGAGAUGAAAGCCUGAGAUCGGAGUAAAUAAAGAUGUUAAGCAAGCUUUUAGGUACAAAUAUUCUUUGCUUAAACUUUUUCUUCUUCUCUUGCACCCUUUCUUUAUUCUUCUUCCCUCAGAUAUAUUAUGAAUCUCCUUCUUCUUCUACGCGUGCUCUGUGAGAGUGAGAGAGAUUGUGUAAUGUCAGAUUGAAUGAAGUGUUUUACGUGUGACUGAGAGAGAGUUGAGAUUGAGAGAAUGAGAAUUUCAAUUUCUGAGAAAAAUGAAAGGUUAGGUGAAACUGGAAGAAUGGAUCUCAAUUUAUAGGAGAGACUCUCUCUCUCUCUCUCUCUCUCUCUCUCUCUCUCUCUCUCUCUCUCUCAGAGAGAGAGAGAGUUAACAUAUCAAACUCUAUUAAUUGAUCAAAAUGAAAAAGUUAUUAGAGGUUAAUUUAAUUUGUUAGUCCUUGAGGACUGUGAUUCAGUUAGGGGUUAUUUUCUGUUAAACUCGAUUUUGAAGCUGUUAGUUAAGUUUUCAAAUGUUAGUUAAAUUUGAGUUCAAUUAAUGAUAGUUAGUGAAGUUGUUAGUUAUGACUGGUUGAUGCAGGAAACUUAUUGAACUGGAGUUAUAUGGAAAGGAUAUGGGUUGCAAAAAGGUGAUGGCAUGCCAAACGAGUUUUGGUUCAAAUGCAGGUCGUGUUGGUUUGAUCAGUUGCUUGGCAAACAUGGUGAUGACCUGUUGAUGUAGGUUGCAGGUAAAAUGCCAAUAAGUUCCGUUUGACUGAUUGGCAAAUUACAGGCUUGUAUGAUGCAGAUGAUGACCUAUUGAUGCAGGUUUUGAUGUAUUGUUGCAGAUUUGGGGUUGAUUGGCAAAUUGCAAGUGUAUGUUUGAGUUGUUUUGAUCAGUGCAAAUUGCUUAAUUUGCAGGUUAUACGUUAUGGGAUUGACAACUAAGAAUCCAUCAUAAAGACCUGCUUGAAAGGUAAAAACCUAUUAUCUUCUACACAUGAAUUGAUUUAUAUAUGGUUUUGUGUAAUGCCUCAUGUUACCAUGUUGAUAUUGGUUGGUACCCUCUUGCUGAAGUGAAUGUAUGCCUACCUAAUUGAAAUUUGCAUUGCUUGUCUAUUGCAUCAUGCUUGUUUGGAUGAAAUGCAUUUACAUGGUGUAUGUUUGUUAGGACAAAUGUGAAUGAUGUAUUAUGUAUAUGCCUUAAAUCAUGUGUGUAUAAUGUAUGUUUUUUGAUUGAAUUGUUAAAUGUUAAGUGCAGGGUUGGCAUGUGAACAUGACUUCAAGGUAUCGCAAGACAUGGCAAUUUGAAUGUCAAAAACAAGGCUUAGCACAAAGAUGGUUUUCUUGCUCAUGAAGGAAUUUGGUAAUAGAAUCACAUGGAAACAUGGGAAGUGAUAUGUAUUUCAAGUAGGCAUUAGGGUUAGGUCAUUAGAAUAUGUCAGUUGAAUUUGGCCAACUGCUUGACCAAAAAGUCAACAGUUGACCAAAAGUCAAAUGUAGGUCAACUCUAUAUUUUUUUUGUAUUUUUAUUGCAUGGAUAAUGUAAAUGAUAAUUGAAUGAGUGAAUAGACAUUAUUGGAUGAAAUGAUUUAAAGAACCAUGCCUUAUUUUCCUAUUUAUGACCUUGCCUUCAAAAA